GCUACUUGCUUUGGCAGCACAUAACAAAAUUGGAAUUAUACAGAGAAGAUUAGCAUGGCAAUUGCACAAAGAUGACACACAAAUUCGUGAGGCGUUCCAUAUUGAA